GGAGGAUGAAGGCCUUCGGGUUGUAAACUCCUUUUUUAGGGGAAAAUAAUGAUGGUACCCUGCGAAUAAGCCACGGCUAACUCUGUGCUAGCAGCCGCGGUAAGACAGAGGUGGCAAGCGUUGUUCGGAAUUACGGGGCUUAAAGGGAGCGUAGGCGAUAAGAUAAGUCUGUGGUGAAAUCUUAGGGCUUAACCCUAAAACUGCCAUGGAAACUGUUUUACUUGAGUCAGCGAGGGGAUGGUGGAAUUCCUGGUGUAGCAGUGAAAUGCAUAGAUAUCCGGAGGAAGGCCGGUGGCGAAGGCGGACAUCUGGCGCUUAACCCACGCUGAGGCGCGACAGCUUGGGUAGUAAACAGGAUUAGAUACCCUGGUAGUCCACGCCCUAAACGGUGGGCAUUAGGUGUAGGGUUCGUAAGGGUUUUGUGCCGUAGGGAAACCAUUAAAUGCCCCGCCUGGGGAGUACGGCCGCAAGGUUUAAACUCAAAGGAAUUGACGGGGGCCCGCCCAAGCGGUGGAGCAUGUGGUUUAA
rnacentral:rRNA from 1 species